rnacentral:lncRNA from 1 species
AAAAAAAUCAGCGGAGGCGGCGAGAGGAGGCCACUGCGACGGCGAUGCGGCGGCGCAAUUCGGUGCCGCUGCGGCGCGCGGGUGCGAUGUCCCCCGACCUCGAGGCCUUCCAUGUGCGGGGCGGAGGGCGGUCUCCAACUCCGACGACCUCACCACCGUUCCCUUCCUCCCUGGAGCGGCCCACCUCCUGGCGCCACCAGCAUUGCUCAGUUCGUCUUCUUAUACUCGGUACACUCCAGCCUACCACGGUUUGUCGUCAAGUUCUAAUGAUAUGACGGUUGUACCACGAGCAUUCCUCCAGACCCAUUUAGAAUUUCACGGAAUUUGAGUGGUUCUCACACAACCUGCUCGAGCUCCGUUCAUACUCAUUCCCCCCAUCACUAAAAGGCAUUCGCAGCGCAAAACGCUGGGGGAACUGAAACUAUGCUGAGGCGUUUUCUCUUGCCAUUUUCUCAUCAAUUUACAGUUACAGAUUUUUGUCUCAUGCUCACAAUUUGGUAACAGCACUGUUUCCACCAUUUGAUGGAUGCGAUAUCUUACAUGGACACUCGAGGUUUCCUCGCUCUCAGGCCGAACCUCUUGAACCUCCCGAGGAACAUCACCAGGAUGAUGAUCAGUUUACCUUCGUCAGUCCACUUGCCGACCAACCCAUAUGACACAGCCUUGCAAGUGGCAUCGGGUUUCAGCAAUCUCUCACAGCUGUAGCCCAAUGAGUAUCCCACAUUUCCGUAUGCGCUGCAAAACAGGGGAAAUGUGUACCAUUAUUGUUUGGAAGCAGCUAAGAUAAAGGCAGAUAUUUAAAUAUUUUAGAUCUGAUGUGUGCCUGCAAAUUUAGUUCAUUCUAGCUUCGGCUGACUGCUUUUGCCUAUUUAUUUAUUUGUGCUAUAAAUUAGUUUCUAUUUGUCCUUUGUUUCGAAUACAUAGUUCCGUAUGAGGGUGUCAACAUACCUGACCACUUCGAAUACUAUGCUGAAGAUGUUGAAAUUUAGUGGAUCGAGUGACAUCGACUUCCUUUCUGUUAUACAUGCUAAAAUUAUGAACGUUGCUAAACAAGUGGGCUUGCUAAUGAUGAAAUUCUUCCAUAAUGUUCUGCUGUUUUUAUCUUCUCCUUUCUCUGUCAGGGUCUGGUCAUCUACACUGUUUGGAAGAGAUGAGCCAUCAGAAGGAAGGUACCUACAAGGCAAUGGUCUCUUAUCACCGGAGUCUACUGAUAGCAUGUUGAUCGAAGUAUUAAUUAUAAAAUGAAUGCCAACCAUAAUAGCUUCCUCUUUUAUGGGCACUGUGCAGAUUGAUUUGAAAUUUUGUGUGCAUGUGUGCUCUGUUGACUUUUAUCAAUGCCUGUUGACUGACCGUGUGGAUUUGGAGCUUGUUAUGUUCCUCCUCUUGUUGGCCUCUAUAACAAUGCAGUUGUUAAGAAGUAUUUAUUUACUUGUUAUGACUUUGGUCUAUCAAAGCGCUUAUGCUACGUGUGCAUGGUAUUUCUGACUAAGUUUUAUGCAAGAAGGAUCAGCUAGGUAGCACAAUUCAUGUUUCAAGUUAUCAGCUGGAAUUUCAAUUAAACAAUGAAACCAUUGUGAGAAUAUGAGCCGGCCUUUUGCAUGCUAAGCAAUUUGUUUCUUUGGUUUGUCCAUUGUAGCUAUUAGCAACUUCAAUCAAGAAUUAAUCUGCACAUAUUAAGCUCAUAACUAUUUCUGUUCCUCUUAUAUUCGCUACAUAUGUGCUUUAUUUGCUCUUUGCUGUUACUAACUGAGAAAAUGAAGUAACUAUGAUGUUUCUUAAACUCCUGGUAAUAAUACAUAUAUAAAUAAGAUAUAAUCUACUCAUCUAAGUAACAAUGAACUGACUGAAAUUAACUAUGUGAACAGGGAUUGGGGGGCUUACUGACAUGAAAAGAGCAAACAGCACCAAUAUUGCU